UGUUACUUGCGAAAUCGGGUGACAUGUACUGUAGGCCUACUGUUGCCAACUUGCGUUCUUGGUUUGAAGAGAACGUGUUCAUGACGUUUGUAUGUUGACCAUUUUUUUGGUGAAGUAUUAACGCCAGUCUAGCUUUUGUUAUCAAGGCGUGGGCGUAUAGUAUUUAAAGACUAACGUUAACUACUUCUAGGCCUAACGUCUUGAAUGCAUGUUGAUGGCCGGCCCGUGAGCUGUGUGUGUGACUUGUGUACAGUGUAGCCUUAAUUAAAAACUGACGUUAGCAUGAAGUAUUCCACUGAUGGUACCCAGUAGACAACUAUUACCAUGACAACUAAUGACGACAGUGAUGUGCCUUGUACCAAUGGUAGCAUGCCAGUCAUUGAUGAAAAUAUGCCAAUGACAUCAUGUGACCGAUGUAAACAAAUGGAAGAGGAGUUGGAGAAAUGUCAAAGGGACCAAACAUUGUAUGCUGCACUCAAGAAGAAGAUUGUAUCAACAGACAUCCUAAUCAGGAAGUACACCAGUAAAUGUCAAGAGUUUGAUCAACAGCAGAAGAAGUUGGAUGAUGUAACUUUGAAAUUAGCAUCAACCAAACGGAAUUGCAAAGUACUUGAAGAACAGUUGACAGCUACUCUGAAAGAGGUUAUUCCAUGGAAGGUGGAUAAGAAUAAAUAUCUGAAAGAAUUGGAAGAAUGUCAGGAAAGUCUCAAAGACAAGAGUGACAGACUAGCAGGAAGUGAGGCUUCUUGUAAGCAGUUUCAAGAUGGAUUCUAUGAAAUGCAGGAGAAACUAGAAACCCUUGAAGAAAAGCAAACAGAGCUACAGAAAGCAGCUCAUAAAAGCCAAAUCGCGGAGAAGAAAGCAUGUGCAUUACUCGCCAAGAACAAAGAUGAUCUUAUGAUGUGCAAGAAGGAAUUACAGAAUUCCAAAAAGUGUGAGGGUAAGCUUGCCAGGCAGCAUCAAAAAGCAAAGAAUAAAAUUUCUGAGCUGAUACAACUCCUUUGUGAGUAUGGCAUUCCUGUCCCCAAGAUACACAAAUCAUUUCUUGGUUCAGCUUGCACUCAGGACAGCACAUCUACUGAAGACACAGAUUUUGAGCCUGUCGAAGAAACUUUCUCUUCCACCAAGGAUUUUCUCUCUCCAAUCAAACAAAAGUUACACACAGAGUUCAAAUGUCAGGAACAGAUCAGACAUCCACAUGUGAAGGAAGAUGCAUGUCUCAAGAUAUUGGAUCAGCUGUCCAAUGAUAUGUCGUUGUGUGUUUCUCCGUUACCUCCAUCUCCUCAACCCCGUUCUCCUGCAAGAGAAGAGAUGUUAAGUGAUAAUAGCAGUGAUGUGAGCAGUGAAGAGGCCUUCUCAGAUGUUGCUGAUCAAAUUGAGUCACAGCUCAACGUCAUGGGAUCAAAAGGCAUGCAGGAUGCAAGCCCAGAGAUAAAGGAAAUUAUAGCGGAAGAUAAGCAGCAAAACAGAAAAACUGCUCACAAAAAAGAAUCAGCUACAAUCAAGGAGCCUAAUCAGCUUGUAUUGUCUCCUGAUCGUAGAUUGACACGAUCCCAGCUGAAAAUUCUCACAGAACAGGGUGUGAUUGAAGCCAGUGAUAUGGGUAAACUAACAAUGACUUGUGGUCAUGAUAGUUAUUCAAACAAAUCUUAUGCUAAACCAUCCCCGGAGCCAAGCAAAGAGUCUCCUCAGAGACAGAUCACCUGCAGCAUAUCUCCAUCUCAGAACAAGCCUUCAACAUCACAGCCCAGAGCUGUUCCUAAAAGGUUCUUGAGAUCUAAUUCAGCUACAUAUGAAAAGCGUUGCUCAGGAGACAAUUCUGAUGGCUCUCUGGGGGAGAUUUUUGGCCAAAAAUCUCCAGGAGGAAUGCAGCCGUCCUUGUCUUUUAUUGAGCAAACUGCCAACAUCACCGAUGAAACUCCACAAACUGAUACUGAAGAUAGUAAGCAAACUGCUGCAGACCAUAAUGAAGAAUUUGAGCGACUCAUCCAAUUGGAAUCCAUUCCUGAAGCCAAGUUAUCUGAGAUGCUUACCCAUAGUUUGAAGAAAUCAGGGGAUUGUAGACACGAUGAUGUUGAAGGAAGAAGAAUAACUAGAUCCCAAACACGUAAUAUGCAGAGCCCAGUCAAGCGUGAGAUCACCCCAAAAGGAAUGACAAGAUCUGCUAAUGCCACCCAAAAAUCACAUAUGAAGAUAAAUCCUGAGACUUUGCCUGAUAAUCAGACAACUGUGACAACUCCGAGACAAAAUAAAACACCAAACCAAGAUUCAUCAUCUACCAAAGGAGAGGAUUUGCAAAACAUGCAGAGUAAAACCAAAGAUUUAGGUAUUGAAAAUUUGGCUGUAUGUACACUUUUGAAUAUACAUUCAGGACUGAAUAAUUCCGAUGAGGGGGAUGAUGAUGAUUCAGGUACAGCAGAGAAAGUCACGACAGAAUUGAAGACCACAUUAAUAAAGCAAUCACAAAAUGAUGAUGGAGGCUUUCAAUUCGUUAAAGAUGCCUCUGGCAGAGGAGUCACCAGAUCAGUAGGUUCAUCAGAAAUGCAACUAGACAACAUCUCAGGUACAGAGCAAUUAAAAGGCUCUCUUGUGUUGCCAGCACAGCAAGGAGAUGAAGGAAUUGAAUUGGCAGACCUUAAAGACUUUGAAGUUGGCAAGGAUAGGGAAACGGAGGCAACUACAAGGGAAAGAGACUUGCAGAAAACAGAGGCUCCAACAGUGGAUCAUGCCACUAAAGCACAGGAAGUUGCUGAGAAAGUUUCUUUUGAAGCUCUACAGGAAUCUUGGCAAAAUGGAAACAGUGGACUUGAUGAACCUCAAACUGUUAACACCAGACCAUCAAGCACAGAAAAACUUGAUGAAAAGCCUGAAUUGCUAUCAUAUGGUGACAAAAUGGUUAAUGAAACAUCAAAGACAAAACCAAUCAAACACCAAGAGAAAAAGGGGUCACUCAACGUGGAUGGUGAUAGCUCAAACUAUCAAGCACACAGUAAUAAAGAUAGUAGCUCUAGAGGAGUCAUGAAAUAUCAUGAGGAUGGAGAUCCUAGGCCGAGAUGUUCCAAACAUUCAGUAGCAAUAGAAACCAACCCUUGUGUUGUUCAACAUGGAGAUUUCAACUCGUAUGGAAAAGACCCUCGUAAUCAAGAUGGUGGUCAGAAGAAAGCUGUGAAACAUCAGCCCACUGAGUCUGAUGAUCUCGGGAAAAAUUUUGUUAACACUGUAAUGGCAGAAGUUCACUCUGCCCAACUUCAUGUUAGAGGAUCCAGUAGCAGCAUUGAUCCAGCAAACAACGAAGAAGGUCCAAUAAAGAUGGUGGAACAUAAGGAAGUAGGUUGUGGUGGACAUAUAAAUGAAAAUCGGGAAACAACAAAUGGCUCUUCAUCUCAUAGUGAGGCUUUUCAGCAAUUAAGCAGCCUGCAUGGGGAAAGAUUGUUAAAUCAAGGGACUUCAACAAGUAGCAGCCAAGUAGCUGAACAUCAAAUUCUUUGUGUGGAGGCACAGUCUUCAAGAGCCAGUUCUCCAACCACAGAUAAAGUGCUAAGCAUCAGUUCUGUAUCAGGACAUGUCACUCCAGUCUCUCCUCUUCCACUUCAGGACACAGCCAGACCACUCUCACCCUUGUCAUCACUGACACGCAGUCCCCCUCUCUCUCCACUUGCUUCCUCACCGUUCUGCUUUGAAGAAUUCAUCAGCAUACCGAGAAUGUUAUCACCUCUGCCACCUUCUCCGGAAAUUAUUGAUGCUGAAUCUGCAGAGGAUGUUGGGAAUUCUUCAUUAAUAGAUAGUAUACCAGGAUCAAGUUGUGUUAACCAAGCCAGAAUGAUCUCACCAUUAUUUCCAACACCUGUACCACCUGCUGUCUCUCCACUUUUAGAAGCCUCCAUUGUUGAUACAUUGUCUCCACUUAGUAAUACGUCCCCUGUCAGACUUAGUCACAGUCCUGUCAUCUCUCCAUUGAGGAAUCCUCUCAUUCCAUCUCCAUGCAAUUUUCAUGCUGAAGCUCCUAGUGAUGCCCUCUCUGUUAGACCUCAGCACUAUCCAACUACUAGGAGGCAGCCUGCAUCUCGUUGUCUUGCAGCAUCUUUCUCAUCUUCUGUAAUUGGAAUGAAUCCGAACCCACAGAUCAUUAGUCCAAGACUUCACUCCUUAGCCUCUGAAAUGGUAUUUGGAUUUGGGGAGACACACCCAAAUCCUUCAGGUUCACAUAUGAACCAGCCGUCACAGACCCCAACAUCAAUCUUCAACCAAGGAGACAAUGCAGAUGCUAAAGGUUUAGCAGAUAUUCUCCCUGAAGAGACUCUUCCCUUUGUUGUAAAAGAAGAAACCUCACCAAGUACAUCAGUGGUACAAGAUCAUGGUACAGGUAGAUGUAAACUUUGUAUUUUGGAAAAGGGGCUGGCUGUUGGAGGUAAGAUUGAUAGUGGAAAGAAACAAGUAGUCAUACAGGAACAUGGGAAUACCUGUGAGUCGUCUGUGAAGAAAGCCAGACCUGCAGAAAAUACCAAUGUUCCUGUGCAGAGUUCCAGUACUUUACAUGUUGAGAAUGUAUGUACUAUCUCUAGAAAACAGCCGGUAUCAAAACAGAGAGCUGUUUCAAUAAAUGUGAUUUGCAGCAAGCAGAAAAGCAAGAUGCCUCAAAAUGUAGACAUGAAAGACCCAGAGACUGCACUGCCCAAAUCCAGCAAACCUAGCAUAGGAAGUAUCUGGGGAGACAUGGCCUCCAGAAAAGAUCCUGGUUUUGCCAUCUUCAACCGUGGACCUAGGAGACGAAAGAAGAGAACUGGGCAGGAUAAAGAUCAAGAUUCUAGUCAGUCCCAGUAUUUAAAGGAGGAAGCUGUGUCUGGAGCUGAACAGUGUGCAUUAAAUAUGGGUAGUCCUGAGUUAAUUUCUAGCAAUGUUGCUUGCACUUCACUCUCUCAGAUGACAUCCGAGAUUACAUUGAUUAGUGAGAAAUCACAGAUUAGACAGGGAAAUGUGACCACAGAUGAAGAAGCCUCAAACAGACAGAAACUACAAGCUAGAAAGAGACAAGCGUCAAGUGAGUGCAGUUUAACAUGUGACAAAGAUGACCAGCCCUCCCCAUGCAAGCAAGCCAAGCUUUCAGAAGGCUUAACAGUUCAGCCAGCAGUGGCAAAUGUUGUGGUUUUGUCAGAGGAUAAUUCUACAACACAGCAACCAGUUUUGUGUGAAUUGCUGCAGCGCAUCAAAGAAUUACGAUCACAGACAAAUGCGAAGCCAUUGUUUGCAUCAAUUUUGACUUUUCUGGGACGGAAAGCUGUUAAUGUUAUGCCUGCUAUCCGAGCCAAGUGUCUGAUCAAGAAUUAUAGCUCCAAACCUUUGCUUCUCCCUCACGAAGAACAACUUGUGUCCUGUAUGUUGGCUUCUGACAUCCUGUCAAAGAAAUCUAACUUGAACAUGUUUCUUGCUUGCCUUUGCCGUGGUGUUCAAAAUCCACCUCCUGCAACUAGUACUACGCCUGCAGUUCUUGCUAGUGUUGCUUUCUGUCGAGUACUUGCUGCUGUGAGCAGACAUUUUGGUUUGAUGGAUCGAGUUCGGAUAUUCUGCUAUGAUUUAGUGCGGGAAGACUGGCAUAAUGCUGAGGAAUUGCUCCUUCAUGUAGCAGUUACAUGGCCAACAGUUCUUAAAAAAGAGAACUUAUCAUCACCAAUUCUGAAUGCCCUUGAGACCGUAACCAUGCUCAGGUUAUUGCAUGCUGCAUCUCCUCAGAAUCUCCAAGCACAAGAGAUAAUCCAGUACUUCAGUCUGAUGUGUGGAUGGCAGAUUCCAAAUGGAAGUUUUCCUGUAAAUCAAUGCCAUCAACUGGUUUCAUCCAUUCAAGAUACAAACAUCACAAAGCUGUGCAGUACAGGGACUUCAAUUCAAGGGCUUACUUCAAAGUCCUAUGAAAUUGUGAAGGCUCUUGAGUUGCUAGCACAUCACCUAGGCUGGAAAUGGACUAAUGACCAUCUCAUUAGGGAGAAACUCUGGCCAAUCCUGAAGAACUGGAGCCAGGAUGUAAAGGCUGUUACCAUAGCAACUGCUACCAAAACUGGAUUGAACCGGUCUAAACAUACCACAAUUCGAACCAGCUGCUGUGUUCAGUCUCCUUCUGAUGCCUCUGCCUGUGCUGUCAUGAAAGUGAUUUGCGGUAUGGCUAGUAUUGGACUUCAAGUGAAUAAGCAGUCUGUGUUUGAACUGCUGAAGAUGCUAGCAGCUGUCUUGCAGCAGCCUCCUUCUAGUGUUCCCCAGACAGUUCAACUCUUCACUGCAGAAGCCAUUCUUAGCUUAUCACCAAGUGACCCAUCCUUUGCUUUUGAUGUUGUCCAACAAUGGAAUCAUAAGGUUCAAUUUGACCUGCCCUUGAGGAUCAAAGAAAAGUUGAACUUGUUAGCCAAGGUUCAAGAUGCUUUCAAGAGUUCUUGAUAAAGAGGACAUUCCAUCAAGUUGCCUUCCAUGUCAGGAGGAGCAGAACAGCGAAAUCAGUAAUGGCUGAAAGAACCUUUCUUUCAACGUAAAUGAAAUGGUUUUUGGACAGCAUGUGGCAAGUCGGUCUGUAACGCUUACAACUUCUUCAUAUCGUGGCGGAGCAUCAUCAUCAGUGUCUUGAUCUGGAGCUUCGUCAAAAAAGGAAACGAUUUAUUUCUACAGUUAGCAGCAGUACCAGCGAUUGUACAGUAGAGCUGCAGAUUAACAUGUGUUGAAGAUUUGCAGUGACAGAUUUAUAACGUUAGCAGUCUUGACAUGAUGUAGAGACAUGAGAGCUGGAUUCGGCCAGCUUACCAGAAUGAAGUAUUCGAUAUUGAUGAGGCUGCAGCCGGGUAGUCCCGAGGGCGGUACA